GAAAGUAAAAAAGGGCGCAUGGCGGAUGCCUUGGCUCUCGGAGGCGAUGAAGGACGUGAUAAGCUGCGAUAAGCUUUGGGGAGGUGCAAAUGACCUUUGAUCCAGAGAUUUCCGAAUGGGACAACCCAAUAUCUUGAAGAGGUAUUAUCUUACUAUGUAAGAGGCUAACGCAGGGAACUGAAACAUCUUAGUACCUGCAGGAAAAGAAAAUAAACAAUGAUUCCCCCAGUAGUGGCGAGCGAACGGGGAACAGCCCAAACCAUCCAUGUUACGGCAUGGGUGGGGUUGUAGGACUACGUCGUUGCAUGAAGACAUCAGAGAAGAACUUUCUGGAAAGAAAGACCAUAGAGCAUGACAGUUGCGUAUUCGAAUGUUGUCGAAGCAUAGUAGUAUCCUGAGUAGCGCGGAGCACGAGGAAUUCUGCGUGAAUCUGCCGGGACCAUCCGGUAAGGCUAAAUACUCCCGAGAGACCGAUAGCGAACCAGUACCGUGAGGGAAAGGUGAAAAGCACUUCGAACAGAAGAGUGAAAUAGUUCCUGAAACCGUGCGCCUACAAGCGGUCGGAGCUCGUUAAUGAGUGACGGCGUGCCUUUUGCAUAAUGAACCUACGAGUUGCCUUUGCCGGCAAGGUUAAGUGUGACGACACACGUAUCCGAAGCGAAAGCGAGUCUGAAGAGGGCGUAUAGUCGGCAGUGGCAGACGCGAAACCAAGUGAUCUACCCUUGGCCAGGUUGAAGGCUGGGUAACACCAGCUGGAGGACCGCACCAAUAAGCGUUGAAAAGCUUCUGGAUGAGCUGAGGGUAGGGGUGAAAGGCUAAUCAAACUUGGAGAUAGCUCGUACUCCCCGAAAUGCAUUUAGGUGCAGCCUUGCGGGUUACUGAUGUGAGGUAGAGCGACUGAUAAGAUGCGAGGGCUUCACCGCCUAUCAAGUCUUGACAAACUCCGAAUGCGCAUCAGUUCUACCGCAGGAGUGAGGGCAUGGGUGCUAAGGUCCGUGCCCGAGAGGAGAAGAAUCCGGACCACCUGCUAAGGUCCCGAAAUGACAGCUAAGUUAAACUAACGAAGUCUGACUGCUAAGACAGCUAGGAUGUUGGCUUGGAAGCAGCCAUUCAUUUAAAGAGUGCGUAACAGCUCACUAGUCGAGGAGUCGGGCGUGGAUAAUAAUCGGGUAUCAAGUUGUCUACCGAAGCAGUGGGAUCAUUGAUAUGAUCGGUAGGGGAGCAUUCCAGUCGGCGUCGAAGGCGUACCGUGAGGUAUUCUGGAGCGUCUGGAAAAGCAAAUGUAGGUAUAAGUAACGAUAAAGGGGGCGGGAAACCCCCUCGCCGAAAGACUAAGGUUUCCUGAUCAACGCUAAUCGGAUCAGGGUCAGUCGGGUCCUAAGGCUCAGCCGAACGGCGAUGCCGAUGGCAGAAACGGUUAAUAUUCCGUUACUACCUUCAGGAGUGACGUGGAGACGCAGUAGUGACAGUGCCGCCAUCUGACGGAAUAGAUGGUUGAAGGGUGUAGGAGUCGAUCAUGGCAGGCAAAUCCACCAUGAGAUCCGAACCUGACAGUAUGCCGCGUCCUUCGGGACAAGGCAAUAGUGCGCGUAAGCAUGCUGCCGAGAAAAUCCGCUAAACUUAAUCCUGCAGGUACCCGUACCGCAAACGGACACACGUAGUCGGGAUGAAUAUUCUAAGGCGCUUGAGUGAUUCACGGUUAAGGAACUAGGCAAACUGACCCUGUAACUUCGGGAUAAAGGGUCCCUACCCUUUUAUGGGAGGGCGCAGAGAAUCGGUCCAGGCAACUGUUUAACAAAAACACAGGGCUGUGCCAAAUCGAAAGAUCCAGUAUACAGCCUGACACCUGCCCGGUGCUGGAAGGUUAAGAGGAGAUGUCAUCGAUAAGAGAAGCGUUGAAUUGAAGCCCCAGUAAACGGCGGCCGUAACUAUAACGGUCCUAAGGUAGCGAAAUUCCUUGUCGGGU
rnacentral:rRNA from 1 species